UGAUUAUCUCUUUGAAUCAUUUGAAGUUUGACAUCAUUCAUUAGAUCAUUUCAUUGUGCGGAUAUUUGGCUCUUCAGAUCUAAAUAACAUUACCAUAUUAAUUAUAAUGAAAUCAAAUAAAGCAGUAACCACCAUUCAUUAUUCACUGCUUAUGCAUUUGUCACAUACGUAGUAAAUAGAAAUUAAAGCAACAACAUUAUUUAGAGGAUUAUAUAUCAAGCACACACUUCUUUGUAAUACGGUAGGUUCUUAGAUGUUCAUUCAUCAUCGUCAAGUCCCUUCAAAGUCCAAGACGGCUUCUGGCAACCAGGAUUCAUGCCACUCUGAGCGUGACCGUAGUUUGGGCCAGGAGCUCCAUAGCCGUGCCCAUGUGUGAGCUUUUCAAAAUGGUUCAUAACACCACCUCCAUGUCCAUUUGAAUUUCCAAAACCAUGUGAAUCUCCAUAGCUGUGUGAUUUACCAAAACCAUGUGGACUCCCUAGGCCAUGACCUUGUGGGCUUCCAUGGCCUUGUUGGCUUCCAUGGUUGAAUGAGUUUUCAUAUCCAUGUGAUUUACCAAGACCAUGUGGACUCCCUAAGCCAUGACCAUUUGGGCUUCCAUGGCCUUGUUGGCUUACAUGGCUGAAUGAGUUUUCAUAUCCAUGUGAUUUACCAAGACCAUUUGGACUCCCUUGGCCAUGACCAUGUGGGCUUCCAUGGCUGAAUGAGUUUUCAUAACCUUGUGACUUUCCAUAGCCAUGUGAAUUUCCUCCAUAUCCACCAGCAGCACUGGGCUUGACUGGAUGGCUGGGUCCAUGGCCAUGCUGGUAUUCAUCACCAGCAGACCAAGUAGAUUGGUAUUGUGAAACAUGGCUUGAUGGGUAAGUUGAAACUUGAGGAUAAGUCGGGUAUGGGGUUGUCUGGGCUGCAGUUAUUCCGUGGAAGUUGUUGUUGAAGUAGCCAUCAGCCCCUUGGUGUGUUGGAUAGUUGUUCUGCUGGUAGCCACUAGGGUAACGUUGAACCUCAAGAACCAUUUUUUUUUCUUUGAAAAAAAAAUGUACGUCAAAUUUAAACCUGUGUUGCUGAUGGUUUUUCUAUACUCUUGCUUCAUCCUAUUUAUAGGGUUAAGCCCAUGAUUCCAAAUAAGUCGAAAGAUGCAUUACGUCUCUUGUCAUGGGAAUAUCACCCCACAUUCAGUGGUCAUCUUUUUAUCGAAUUGAAAGGUAUUUACAACUUUAUUCCCAACUUAUUGAAUGACUAUAGAUUCUGAUUUAGAACACCCAAAUGUAGUCAUAUAUACUAAUGCAUUAUCGUGUUUAGAACUUGUACUGUUUGAUGGCUUGCCAACUUACUAUAUUGAAGAAAACUAACAAAAGAUACUUUUCAUUUCCUCUUAUCCCAUGUUAUUCCACAUUAUGAUGCAUCAGUUCUAUUCCCUUAUCGUCCUUUUUCGUGAUUUAUUUCCCUCAAUUAUAUAUAUUCCUAUUCUUUUCCUUCCACUUGUCUUGUAUUUUGGAAAAUGUAGUAAUCAAAAUUUCAUGUCACAUCACAUACACAAUGAUGAGCACGAAAGGAACCAUGCUUGAGCAAGAUACAACUACGCUUCAAUAAACUCACCAAACAUAUAAUAAAAUAUAAAAUGCAUUUUAAUACCAUCUUAUAUAUAUUGCGUUGAAAAUGUACAUCCACGAAUGCUCUAACUUUUAUGAACUUUUAACUCUUACAUUUCUUAUUUGUUUGCUUUUGCAUUUUUAUUAACAGAUUAAUUACAAAUGAAGAGCGAUACAAAUGGCAUCAUGUAUAUAAUAUAUUAUAUAUAAAUAAAACAAUCGUCAUUCCCUAAUUAACCUCCAUGGUUCGUUCCACUUAAAGAACAUGAAUACCCCUAAAAAGAACAUGAAUUUUGUUGCAGCCUAACCCAGCCCAAUCCAAGGCCCAAAUGAUUAUCUUACAAGAUCGUUCUUUGUUGUUACUUGCGCUUCUGGUUGUACUUACGUACAUCAGGAGGAUGAAGAAAAUUGUGGACAAGGAGGAGGAAGUAGCUCAUAUGUUGGAUGCACCUGACUGUAAGUGCUAUGUUUAUGGUUUAGAGCUGCUCCUGUAACGAACGGGUGCCUCAACAACUGCGCCGCCGUCCAUCUCCUCGCCGGAUCCUUCUGCAAACAGCAUGCAACAAAAUCUCUGAACUCACGAGAAGCAGUCGCCGGCGCUUUUGGUGGCUGUGACAUGCAAAUUGCACACAUAAGGCUCGCCCAAUCACCCUGUCUUCCGACGGUAAACGGAAAACGCCCCAGAUAGAAUUCCAAAAUGCUCACCCCCACGCUCCAUAUAUCUCCGGCGCACCCGUCGUAUUUUCCUUCGUUCAGGUCGGUGUUUAUUCUUUCCGGGCUCAUGUAAGCAAUCGUACCCACCGCAGAAUUACAGGGAUCCAUCGUUUGUUCCAAGAUUCUCGAAACCCCAAAAUCCGCAAUCUUCACUUGUUUCUUGGAAUUAAUCAACAGAUUGGAAGGUUUUAUAUCACGGUGGACGAUCUUUCGCCGGUGGAGGUAGUAAAGUCCGGAGAUAAUCUGACGGGUGAGAUCGGCCAACAAGGACUCAUCGGACAAGUGGGUGCCUUGAAGGCAACCACCGUCCAUGUACUCAAGAAGCACCUGAAUCUCACCGGCACGAUCAAACAUGUCGUGACACUUGACGACGUUAAGGUUGUCGACCCCACGUAGAAUCUCGAUUUCUCGACGGAUCUGAUGGCGGGCAUCGUCGUCGUGGGUUCCAUAGAUUACUUUGAGAGCGAAGAGCGUGUCGGUAGGGCGAUGGAGGACUUUGUAAACAGUACCGCCACUGCCGCUUCCGAUUCUGUUGAUCCGAUGGAGGUCGGAAAAGUUGAUGUGUUGGUGUUGGAGGGCGGAGGAGGGUGGGAGAGGGAGAGGAACGGCGAUCUGGGGCUGGGGUAAAGGUAAAGGUAAAGUUAAGUCAAGACGACGUCGAGGGCGACUAUUGGUGUUGUUGUUGUUGUUGGGCUUCAUUGACUAGACCAAAUAAUUAAAGUGAUUCAGAUUUCAGAGCGUUGGUUGAUGCAUAGACUAGACGAUCGAUGUAUAUGUAUAUAUAAUAUAUGACGAAUAAUAAACCUAAAGACGAAGAAGUAAGGAAAGGGUUUAGGGUUUGAAGUUGUGAUCUGGUGAAGGUUCUGGGAAGAAGAUGAAGGUUGGAAUAAUUCUACUCAUGUGUUUCGGAGAAUUGAUGGGUGUCGAAAAAACUAAGUAUGUUACUCAUUUAUUGCCUCAAGGUCAACGUUGUUAUCUCUUUUGGAGGUAUAUAUGUGUAAAAAUUUAAUUAGAAACGUAUUGUAUUUGAUAUCCUUAGUUUUCGUGAAAAUGAUGUUCGAUGUUGAAAAUACAUGCUUGCUAGAUACGGAAUAUAGUUUUUUUAUUAAUAAAGAAAAAAUAUAUAUAUAUUAAGAACAUGACUAAAGCGUGGUAUUAAAUCCAUUUAGAUGAUAGUUAAAAAAACGUUCUUGAACUAGUCCACUACACUACAGUAUUCAUGGUUUUAAAGGAUCUGGGGACUACAUGGUCACUUCUGAAUUAGAACCUUUGGUAUUAGAUUUGAACUCGGGAUCUCUUGUAUGAAAAUGAAAAGUUUAUCUUUUGUUUUCUCAACGGCUUGGUUAUUCAGGCUGUGGUAUAGAUACUAGAGUUAAUUAAGUCGAAAUGAAUUGGUUUUUUUGUGCAUAUGUAUGUAUGUGAUAAAAAUUACAUUUAGAUAUAUAAAGUAAAAAAAAAACGUAUUGUUACUAAUGAUUGACGAGUAAAAAUAAUAAAAGGAGAGGGGUGACUUUUUCUUUUGAGCAAGAGCAAGAGUCCAGAUGGAGGAGGAACAAGUCAUAAAAGAAAUGGUCUCAUUGUAUUUCUAAUCCAUCUCUCCCUCCCAAAUUGGACUCGAAAAACACACAACAGUUGACUGCUAACUUAAUCCCAUUCUCACACCAACUUCAUUAAUUCCUUUAUUAUUAUCAUUCUAUUUUUAUUUCUUUGUACAAGAAUUUCUAAAUUAAAAGAUGACAGAAAUUUGUCCUUUACAUACAACAUACGUACCCGACAAAAGCAUAAAGUUAAUAGAUUGACGCCUGCCAUGUUUGUCCAUGUGGCUCUCCACUAUGUGAUGAUAGCGGAGAGGAGCAAAGUGUUUGCCGAUGUUACUAAACAACCAUUUUCAAAAUCGCCUCACAUCGCCUUCUCUUAGCCACCCUUGAUUAAUUUUGCGUCACUAGUGAGGAGGUGCUUACCACACUUACCUACCGAGAUAAGCCAUCGGGUAUCAUGUUGGUUCGUAUAAAAUUUUAGAUAAGUUAGUGAACACUUUUGUCAUACAACAACAAACAUAGUAGUAUUUAAUUAUCCUGGAUCCAUCCACGCCUUAUAACUUAUCGUUUGUCUUUUGACAUUUCAUUUAUUUUAGUACAAACCAAGAGUACAUAUUAUUUACAGGUUUCGUUGAUGAGGUAUUAGAUAUCUAGAAACAAAGACAAGGAACUAGAUAUCCAGAAACAAUGACAAGGAACGGUGGUGAAACAACGUUAUUAUUAAUAUCAAAAGUAAAAACUCUUCUACUUGUAAGAUCAAAUGCUAAACGAUUUUUUUUCCAAACGAAACAAUUAGCAUUUAUCGGUAGCCAAUUAUUCAAUAGAAACCAGUAAGAAUGUGAUUGUAAGAGGCUUUAUCGAUGGUUCUCUUGAAGAUUGCACAUAGACGAUACCCUGCGAAUUUCCAAGUCAGGCCCACGAAUCAUUUUGAUUUGACAUGAUAUUAUGUUCUUGAAAGAGUGCUAAAAGAUCCAUCAAUUGUUGUGAUUCAACUCCCGUUUUCAUGCAAAUUUUAUUCGAUUUAGUUAUGUAUAAAUGAGGGAAUCUAUUUUUUAAUGUUGCAUUUCCAAUCCAUACAUCUUUCCCAUACAUAGUUCUUGAACCAUUGUUGACUUUCUGUAACACCUUGAUCCGAGUAUUUUUCAUUUCUACCUUUAGUAUGAAAUUUAAUUGAAAAAUUGGUCCCUUGGCUCAUUAAGUGAAAACGUGCCUUCAGUUGAGUACGAUGGGCGUACGUGAUUGAUGUCCAAACCCUAAUUUUUAGGGUUUGAUCCCUAUUUAAACAUCAUUAACUUUUCAAUGUCUUUUCCCUCAUCAACCUCCAUCUCCCAAUUCGUCCCUAGCAAACCCUAAUCCAUUGUGUGAGCAUUUUGAGUUUGAGAUAGUGUACUUUUGUGUUCUUCAAGGAAAGAGAAGAUAGUAGAUUCAUCUUGGAAGCGCAAGACAACUUAGAUCCAGAAGUAUCUCCCCCUUAAGCAUGAUUUGAAGGUAUAAAGGUUGGAUCUUGAUGUGUUAUUUUGCUAGUCUAGAGUUUAUGUACACUUUUGGUCCCAUAGUUUGGUCUAGUGGAGUAUGAGCUACUCCAGGUACUUGAAAUGUAGUUAUCUAUAGUUUUGAGAUCAUAGAUUCAUAAAAAUGAGAGUUUUGGCAUCCUCGUUAAUCCAUGCAAGAGUUUUGGGACUUUGGAUGACUUUUAGACCAAGAGUUUGAGUUUUUACCCUCAUGUAUGCAUGCAAAUGGAUAAAGUCAGAGACUUUAUCCAUUAAGACUUCCCUUUUUACCUGGAUUUGAAGUUUGGUGUUUUGGCUGAAUCAAAAAAGCUUAAUGUAUAUUAUGAAUUGUACAAGAUCGGACUUAGCAUAUAGUGUAAGUAGAUUUAGUCGAUACUCCCACAAUCUUGGGAAAGAUCAUUGGUAUGCAUUAGUGAGAGUGCUUAGAUAUUUAAAGCAUACAAUGAAUUAUGGAUUGCAUUAUACGAGAUAUCCUCCUAUUCUUGAAGGGUAUUGUGAUGCAAAUUGGAUUUCCAAUACUUCAGAGGCAAAAUCCACAAGUGGAUAUGUGUUCACUCUAGGUGGAGUUGCUAUCUCUUGGAAAUCAUCUAAGCAAACUAUGAAUACUCGUUCUACAAUGGAAGCAGAGCUUUUUGCUUUAGACAAAUUUGCUAAAGAAGUUGAAUGGCUUAAAAGCUUCGUAAAAGGUAUUCCUCUAUGGCCUCAACCUGUUACUGCCAUUGGCAUACAUUGUGAUAGUAUGGCUGCUUUUACUAGAGCACAAAGUCAUAUAUACAAUGACAGGUCGAGACACAUUAGGCACAGACAUAUUACAAUAAGACACUUGUUGAAGAAUGGAAUCAUUUCCAUUAGUUACAUAAAGUCGAAGGAAAAUAUAGUUGAUCCCUUGACAAAAGGCCUAGGUAGAGAGCAAGUUCUCUUCACAUCGAGGGGAAUGGGCUUAAAUCCAACACAAUGAGUCACCACCUGGCGGAAACCUAACCUAGCAACAUUGGAGAUCCCAUGGUCUAGGUUCAAUAGGACAACUAGUUGGGGAAGACUCAAAGAAGCACUAACACAAAGGUAUGCUCACUCCCAUGAUAUUUGUUUUGUGUUUUUCCGUUGAUGUUAUAGGGAUGAAUGCUUUAUUCUUAAUAAUGCUGAUAGCUUCUACAGUGGAAUAAGUACGGAUUAUUCCAGAUUAGCAUUACCUAUGUGAGAUGGAUGUGAGGUCGCAUCUUUGGGAGCUGAUAUGGCUAAAGCUCUCUAAAAGUCUCAUGAAGAAAGGAUCGUUCAUGACCGAAAUGAACACAACGGUAAGAAAUGAUCUAUGCUUANUUGUUUAAUUAAUAUUAGUCAAGAAUUAAUUAAGAAUUAAUUUUGUGGCUAAAAGAGAUUAAUUAAACUUAAGGGACUUAUUGUGUAAUUAUAAGAUAAUUACAUAGAUGGGCUAAUGGACUCCAUAGAAGGUGGAGUGGACGAAUUAUAUGGGGAAGCCCAUAAGAAUUCGUCCAAGGCUUCUAAAGAAAGGGUCCAUGGACUGCCUAGGGCUUAAGCAGUCAAAUUAGGGUUUCCUUGUUAGAUAACCCUAAUUGCCUACUUAUUUAAGGAGCCCCUAAGCCCCAAAAACGGGGUGAUUGAAUCCUUAGGGUUUCCUGGACGUUUUGGAGCCUUUUUCCUCUUCUCUUCUUCAUCUUGUUGCUUAGUGGUGUUUGUGACUCCAUUAGAGGUGCAACACUUGAGGCACUAAGCUUGCUGAAGCCAAGGAAUUGAUUGUUAUUGCUACAUAACAAUCAAGAUAAGAUCUAAACCCUAAUUCAUAUGUUAAUUUGAUUACUAGUACGCUAGAUCUAGGGUUUGUAAGUCUUGGAAGUUUAUUGCAUGUUUAAAGUAGAAAAACUAGAUCCAAGCAAUUAGGGUUGCAUGAACACCAUAGGAUUGAUGUUAUGCGCAAAACCCAUCAGCGGUAUCAAAGACUAGGUCGUUUUUCUAAUGAAUAGAUGCAUAAUUGGACUGCCAAAGAUCUGAAAAUCGAAUUUUUUUGCUCACUGUCUGAUAAACUCGCCGAGUUGCAUGAACUCGACGAGUUCCAAAGAGGACUCGACGAGUUGGAUGUUCAGUUGACGGGAUUUUCGAUUUUCUGGCCAGCUUUUGUUAAGGAUAAUUACCAAAACUCGUUUUUAUUGACUAAAAUCGAUUAUUUAUGUUUGGAAUGUUUAUCCUUAUCAAAAUUAAUGGAUUUGGUUAAAUAUGGAUAGUAUAGGAUUAUUAUUAGAUAAAUAUUUGACCUUGUAAGUUUGAAAAGUUUCAAUUUGCACCCUUUAGGUUUUAUAGCUUAAAUUUGAACUUAAAAGUUUUUGUUUUUGAAAUUUAAAUAGUUAAACCUCAAUGUUUUGAAAGGUUUCAAAACUUGUCCUCAAGUUUUGGAAUUUAAAUUUUGAUUAAAAGUUUAAUUUUUAAAUAUUUAAAUUCUAAACCCUAAGUUUGAAAAAGUUUCAAAAACUUGCCCUCAAGUUUUGGAUUUUAAAUUUUAAUUAAAAGUCUUAAUUUAAAAUCUUAAGAUCUAAAAACCUUGUAUUUUGAAAAGUUCAAAUUACACCCUCAUGGUUUUGUUAAGUUAAUUAAAAGUUUAAUUAAAAGAGAAAGUUAAUAAAGCCACCUAGUAUAUUUUAAAGAGUCAGUCUUACCGUUAGUAGGCCUCAUUCACGAAGUUGGUCUAAAAAGGGUGUUUAAGGAAAUUGCCUAUAAAAUGGCGAUUGAAUGGGUAUCCACUCUUACCCGCCACACUCUUGACUAGUGGAGGGUCGUUAGCCGAACGGGUAGGAUAGGACAGAAACUUUCCAUUAUAAGUAUAAUGAAGUACAAAGUAACUACAUGUUUUUACGAAUUCCCAAAUCAUAGUUACUUUAGGCAAAAUGUGAAAUUGUAUGCUAAUCCAUGGAAUGUCACUUUGUACCCUUGCCGAGACGUUAGUGGAGCAUGUGUGGUUAACCGGCACACUAAUUUGGGUUUGGCAUUGGUAGCGAAGGGUGACUCGAUGUCUGUCAUAGAUCAAUGGAGCAUGUGUGGUUAACCGACACAUUGAUUAGGUGAGCAUAACAUUGAGUGCACCAAGUACAUUCGCAUGGUUAUUCACACCUUGUUUGUGAUCCUCGGCAUCCCAGUCGCAAAUAGUAGGGCAUAAUCAAGAUUAAACAUGUCAUUGAAAGGUUCAAUGAAUCUCAAAAGAUCUAGGAGUUUCAAUUCAUUUAAAACUUAAAUUUCUUUUUCGUUUUGCAUGGUGGAAAUUGGUAAAUCUUCAUUUACCUACCUUCAAAUAUCCUGCAACUAGAUUACGACAUCCCUCUUCUAGGUUGUAGAGUAUUGUGUUGGAUCAUAGCCUUGAUGUUUCAUUUGGGUGUUACAUCAAGGAUUCUAAUCAACUUAACUUGAAUUUUUCUCCCGUUUUGUAGAUGUCUGAAUCUAACAAUGGUCUUCCCAAAUCCCAUGGAACAAGUUUUCCAAAUGAAGAUGAUACUCCACGAUAUGAUCGAGGAGCUAGAGAUCAUGCUUCACUUCCUCCACAUCCUCCAAUUAUUCUCCCUGACCCACAAGUUUGAAGAAUUGAAUAGUUCAAUCUAACUCAAGCACUUUUGGCAAGUAAACACGAAGAUGGGAAACCUGUGUGUGCACACGUCUUAGAGAUGAAGUCACAUAUUGACAGGUUAAGGAUGUUGGGUGUCGAGAUUUCAAGUGAGUUGGAUGUUGACUGUGUUCUUCAGUCACUUCCUGAAUCAUAUAGUGAGUUCGUUAGAGAGUACUAUAUGAUGGACCACGAUGUGACCCUCAUUGAUUUGACCUAUUUGCUUAUAGCUGCUGAAUCAACAAUGAUUUGGCGUGCUGGUCAAGCAAAUUUGUCUGGUGAAUCAAACUCCCAAACUUCAAUGGACACUGGCAACAUUGGAAGUCCAGAAAGGACUAAUUCGGAGAUAGUUCCUUGUGCUAUUCCAAAGGAGUCCAUUUGUUUUUAUUGCCAAAAGAAGGGGCAUUGGAGACGAAGUUGCCCUAUUUACCUGAGAGAUCUAAGAGAUGGGAGAGUCAAGACGUAUGACUCUACUUCAGGUGAAAUCCACCAUCUAAAUCUUUUAAGUUCCUAUUCUAGAUUCUUAAUACAUGAUGUGAUAAGAUUACAUUUUGAUGUUUUGAAGGAUCGAAGAAAAGAGAGGAAGCUUAAGGGAAGAAGUGAGCCGAUUCUGAUCGUGAACAAAUGGAUUUCGAUCGCAUUGCUUAAAGAUCAGAUUUUUGAGCUGCUACUUUGGAGUUAAGAUAAAUUGCUAAGAAAUACGUAAUAGCAUAGUUUUUCAGUUGAAUUGCAUUGUAAGGACAAAGUUUUUCCGCAAUAAAAUAAAAUUUGCUUUGUCUUAUUUAUUUAUCCUUGCAAUGGCAUGUAUGAAAAAAAAUGAUGUUUGAAAGUUUCUACUAUUGGCAAUAAUGGAUUUGCUUCUUAAUUGCGUUAUUUGUGGAAAUUUACCAAAUAGGGAGAGUUUCUCAUCGCCCAAGUUUCAAUUAGACAGAAACUUGGAAUCAUGCAACUUGCAUUGUGUGAUGAAUGAAAAACUUUCAUAUUUGGAAAUUAGACUAAUUCCUUGACAAAGAGUCAAGUGAAGGGCUAGGGAUCAGGUACACUUGGUUGUACGCUGGGCAAGUCCACCACAAAGAGAGAUAGAGUAUUUGUCAUGAUUUACUAAAGUUUAGUAAAUAUGAUUAUACUUAUAAGAUUAAGUGUAAUUCUGAGUUGAUUGAAAAGGUUUCAAUAAAUAGCAGAACGAAUAAGAAGAAUCAAGUAAGGCAGAAAGAUAAAAGGUUCUCUAUUCUAAGAAGAAGGGAGAGUACCUUUUAUUGUGUUUUAUGAUAAGUCUUAAUGAUUAAGAACCAUAUAUUUAUUGAUCCUCUAAGUGAGUUUUAGUACAUAUGUAUGUCUAAGAAGAGGAAUCGGGAAUUGUGGAAAUGGUUAAAUCAAGAAGUCAAUCAUACUUCGUUCCAAUAUCGAGUCUUAGAGUCAUACUCCAAGAUUGCGAAUUGAGUGACACGUCUUUAGUAGGUUUAUAACACUCAACAAAUGUGGAAUUGGAAAAAGUCUUCUUAUUCCUGCACAUUUGAAAUUGGUAAGUUGUGAUGUCUUGUAGAAGACAAAGACCAACGAGAACCAAUUUAGCGAAGUGUUAGUCUUGAUAGGAUUUCACACUAACUCUUGAAUAUUUGUUUUGUCAAGAAAAGUUCAUUGACAAAGAGAAUCAUAUAUGUCAAGAAGUCAGUGGGAGUCUCAAUUGUCUUGAAAAGUUUAAGAGCUAAUCAAGAAUAAACCGAUAGUUAAUCACUAGCACACGACUUGAGGUUGGCGACCUAUCGUGUUGACAUAAUUUUGUUUCUGUGCCAUUCCAGAUUAAGUCAACUAUGCAAUAUGAGUUCUAUGAGUUCUCAAUUGGAUUGCAUAAAGGCAAGGCACCUUGAUCAAUGGAAAGUACAUUGAUAAGGUAAGGGUGAGCUGCUCAACAACCUGGAAGCAAUGGUGGGCAUCCAUGCUUCCAUAAGGCGAGAAAUCAAGAUUGAACAAGUUCAGUCCAUAUGAGUUGGAUUUGUCACAAACAUUGUCUUAUGAUUGUUGUCAUGACAAAUUCACAUGGAUAGGAACACAUACACUUUGAAAUCUAAGUGUUGUAAGGUUUAUCUCCUUCAUGAAAAUGAUUGUGAGGAAAUGCUUUCACUUAGAAAGAUUUUAAGAAGAUUGCAAUUGUGAAAAUUGUAUUCUCAAAUUCGAUUACGAUUACGGCAUCCCUUUUCAUAGUUCGAAUUGUGAGAUUUGGCAAUUGGUCUAAACAUUUGGGACUUAGUAACAUAAGUUCUGAAUUUCUUUAGACACGCAUGUGAGCUUUCUAAGGCAGAGGUGUAUGAGUUUAAGAUGCUUAGAUAAAGGUUUAUCAAAGCAUCAGGUAUUUAGAAAUAUGAACUUAAGGAAUUCAAUAAGUAUUGUUUUCUGGAAGUUCAGAUGUUUUCUGAAUAUAUAUCAAAGUUAUUGGGAGCAUAAGUGUUAUGAUUGUAUAGUAAUAAUCAUCGUGUUGGUGGGAGCAUGAUUAUUAUUUCAAGUAUUGCAAGUUAGCAAUAUUAAUUAUAGAAAACAAGGAUUCACUUUGCAAAGUUGUAGGGGUUGAAAAGUUGUUUUGCUAUAAUUAAGGGAGAGAAUAUUAUACUUCGUUUCAAAAUCUAAAGCUUAGAUUGAUAAAUUUUAAUAAAUUUAGUCAAAGGAUACAUAGUGUGUUCUCAAAUUUCGAUUAUGAUUACGGCAUCCCUCUUCAUUGUUCGAAUAGUGAGAACAUGACACAUAAAAUAUUAUGGCAGAAGAUUGAUAAAAUAUCAUAUCUUUAUGUAAGACAUUAUGCAUCGUGUCCCAUACACUUCGGGUAUAGGAUCGAUUGCAAAUGCUAUAAUAUUUGACCAUUCUAAAAUUUUCCAAAUGCCUAGCGCAUUAAGAGGGAAAAAGGACUAGAAUCGGCUUUGACUAAAAUAAUUAAACAACUAUCAAAGGACGACCCAAAGUUCGUUGAGGAUUUGUUGCUUGUGAAUAGUUGGAUGUAUAGUGUUCGAUGGACCAUAACGACAUUAUUAUGAAUAGAUAAGAUUCUGUUAAGAAUGAUUUGUCGUAUGGCAAAUAUGGAAAUGCCUCCAUAUUGGGAGUUGAAGUUAAGAAUAUAUGUCUAGAUUAGAAAAUUUUAUGCAAAAGGGAUGUUCAAAGGAAUGUACUUUGAGUGAGAGACAUCACAUCUAUAGAAUUGUUUUGUAACAAUUUCUAAUAGAGAACCUUGUAUUUGCAUUGGCCAAGUCUUGGUGACUUUUGUGCUAUGACUUUACGAAAGGAUCGUUGCAUAAAAUGUUAGAAUCUAACAUAUUCUAGUAGUGGCAAGAACCUUGUGUUCUUACACUAACGAUGAGGAUUAGGAAUUGUGAAAUGAGCAUCACUGGAAAAGUUUUCAAUUGAUCUAUUUCAUGGACCAUAGGAAACAAAGUGUGCAUGCUUCGAGCAUGGGACAAUUGUUGUUGUAAUUCAAGUAAUGAGUUGAUUAUCCGAAACAUUAAAUGAUAAAUAAUGAGUAAUCAAUAUGGUGGUUAAAUAGAAGUGUUUUAUUUACUCUCACAAGUUUGGGGCCAUAUAGGAUUAAGUAUUAUUGUUGUGUUUCAGUUUGCAUGUUUUGACUUCCAGAAUAACUAGGUUAUUCGAACCUCCACAGUCGGUCAUACUUUGGAAGUAGGUAUGAAGCAAGACUGUCAUGAAGAGUCUGUAGAUUGUCUAAAAUUUUAGACAUAACACAAGUUUGCUGUAGAGUUCAUGAGUGCUUUAAUAAGAUUAGAGUAUUGGAUUAAACCCACGCUCACAAGAAUCACUUCAUGGAUUUUAUCAUGAGUGAUUGUGAGUCGAUAAUAUUGUAUAUUCUUGAAACCGAGACGUGUGAGUUGUUAUUUGUUGGUCGGUUACACAUUGAUGGUAAGUAAACGCACGAGUAACUUGGUGUUAUAAAACUUAUUGUUGAGUGUGAUUCGAUGAUUGAAUACAAGCGAGCAUAUGAGUCGAAGUUUAUCUAUUCCUUUUACCCAAAGUGAGAUAAAAGCGAUAUAUGUGGGCCCCUCGAUGAUUUAGUGAUGACACCUAAGCGCUUGGCCAAGCCGGGACUAAGUUGAUGUGUUCAAUUGUAGUCUGUUGUCAGUCGUCAUAAAUCGGAAGUCGGGAAACAGUAUAGAGAGAAUGAUCGAAAUUCAUGUCUUGUGUCUAUACGAUAUCUUGAGAAUGGAGGAAUAUAUGAUCCUUUAUCUAAAGGACACGCUGUCUGAUAAGAUCAGAGUUGACAACGGCUUUUGAAAGCUAUGAUUGUUGAUCAGGUUCUGAAGUCAUGCAAAAUAGUUAUUAGACUUAUCCAAGUGGGAGACCGUUGGAUUAGUGUCUAAGUCCGUAACUAUUUUGGUAUGUACUUGACCCGAUUAUGAGCAUGGUCCUUUUGGGUUGCCUUCAACAUAGCAACUUGUAGGAUGAAUUAAGGAGAGAAAGGUUUAAUUAUGAUUUAUUAAUAUAUUAUGAGAAUAAUAUAUUAAAGGAGAAAUCAUAUUGUUUAAUUAAUAUUAGUCAAGAAUUAUUUAAGAAUUAAUUUUAUGGUUAAAAGAGAUUAAUUAAACUUAAGGGACUUAUUGUGUAAUUAUAAGAUAAUUACAUAGAUGGGCUAAUGAACUCCAUAAAAGGUGGAGUGGAUGGUUAUAUGGGGAAGCUCAUAAGAAUUCGCCCAAGGCUUCUAAAGAAGGGGUCCAUGG
rnacentral:lncRNA from 1 species